GUCCCUGCCAUGGGAGGGCUGGGAACUGGAUCAGCUUUAGGGUCCCUUCCAACCCGAAGCAGGCUGGGAUCCUGCAAAAAGGAACUGUUUGAUGUAACAGGAAAUUUCCCCACGACAUUUCUGUGACUGGCACUGAAUGCUGAGCGUCUGGAGAGGAGCAGACCCGGUGCGAGCUCGGGACGUGGUGUCCAGUGGAAAGGAUGACUGACCCUGGUGAUUGCCUGAUGGUCUCCAGAUCUGGUGUGGAGCCUGUGCCUUCCUCCCUGCUCAUCUGCUGACCCGUGCAGCAUCCCAGCCUGCUUUGGGCCAUUUCAUUCACUCCUGGGUUUUGCUGUUUGCCAGUGUCAGUGUGGCAGAGGUGGAUAAUCCCAUUGGAUAGGGUUUGGGAUAAUGGCUUUCCCAGCACUUCCCACUUCACAGUACAAGCCUCAGUCCUGCAGACACAACCAGAGUUAUGUUCCAGGAAUAAGAGAUGACUAAUGCUGAACCACUCCCAGAAGAUUUAAACCUUUGGCUAAGCCCCAUGGAGCAGGAUUAUCCCCACCUGCCUGACUCCCCUGCCCUGGCACCCUGGGGCUCCCUGGGAGCAGCACUCAGGUGAGGGGAGGCACAGGGCUCACCACAGCCUUUGGAGCAUCCAUCCCACAGUGGUGGCACCUGCAGCACCUUCCAGCUCCUGGCCUCUGAGGGACGAGGAUUGACCUGGUGGCUGUGGGAAUUCAACAGCUGAGCAUGGAGAGAAGGCAGUGGUGAGGUGAGAGGGGAGGGAACCAGCUGGUUCCCUCUGGGACCUAG